GAUGAAGAACGUAGCAAAAUGCGAUAAGUAAUGUGAAUUGCAGAAUUCAGUGAAUCAUCGAAUCUUUGAACGCACAUUGCGCCCGCCAGUAUUCUGGCGGGCAUGCCUGUUCGAGCGUCAUUUCAACCCUCAAGCACAGCUUGGUGUUGGGACUCGCGUUAAUUCGCGUUCCUCAAAUUGAUUGGCGGUCACGUCGAGCUUCCAUAGCGUAGUAGUAAAACCCUCGUUACUGGUAAUCGUCGCGGCCACGCCGUUAAACCCCAACUUCUGAAUGUUGACCUCGGAUCAGGUAGGAAUACCCGCUGAACUUAAGCAUAUCAAUAAGCGGAUGA
rnacentral:misc_RNA from 1 species